rnacentral:rRNA from 1 species
AUCACACGGAUGGCGAAGCCUGAGCAGCGACGCCGCGUGGGGGAAGAAGGCCUUAGGGUUGUAAACCUCUUUCAGGUGGGACGAAGCCACUCGGGUUAAUAGCCCAGAGGGUGACGGUACCGCCAGAAGAAGCCCCGGCUAACUACGUGCCAGCAGCCGCGGUAAUACGUAGGGGGCAAGCGUUGUCCGGAUUUAUUGGGCGUAAAGAGCGUGUAGGCGGCCAGGUAGGUGGGUUGUGAAAACUGGAGGCUCAACCUUCAGACGUCGACCCAAACCCCCUGGCUAGAGUCCGGAAGAAGAGAGUGGAAUUCCUGGUGUAGCGGGGGGAGUGCGGAGAUAUCAGGAAGAACACCCGUGGCGAAGGCGGCUCUCUGGGACGGUACUGACGCUGAGACGCGA